AGGCGACAUCGGGAGAACUCCCCGUCCCUGCCGAGACAUCAGCAUUCUCGCUCCGAGGCCCAGCAAGACCUGCCAGCCUGGAGCCCCGGAAUCCGUUGCGGCGCCGAGAGCCCCUCCCCCAGGUCUCUGGGCUCUGAGCAAGCAUGGAAGCGCAGCGAGGAGGGAGAUUGCUCGAAAGCCGAGCUCGCUCCCGGCCGCCCCCUCCGCCCUCCCGCCUGCUGUGCCCUCGGGGCUCCCUCCACCUCAGCCCGGCGUUCUGCCCCCACCCGAAGUCUCCAAGGCUGCAGCUCCCGUCUUUUGUGUGGCUCUUGGGGCCUUACAGGCAAUGUCAUUAAAAAGGGGCAUUAAUCACUUUCCUACAGAAAUGACAAGAUGAGAUUAAGUAGGAUAACUUGAAAGAGCUACGAGUUGUUAGUUAUUUUUGGAAGAAGAGACAGGAACGCAUAAAUCCAAUAGCUAAACUUCCCAGACGCUGAAGAGUUUUUGGCGAUAGAUCAUUUUGAAAUUGGGGGUUCAUAGGGUUAGCGUUUUUUGUGUAUUGCUGUUGUUUUCACUAGAAUUUUGAAUCGGAUUUUACCAGCAUUGGAUGAAAGGAUGUGUCUUCCAGUUGAGAAACGGUGGUUAAAACUGAAACGUGGACCGGGAGUGGUGGCUCACGCCUGUAAUUCCAGCGCUUCGGGAGGCCAAGGCGGGCAGAUCACCUGAGAUCAGGAGUUCUAGACCAGCCUGGCCAACAUGGUGAAACCCUGUCUCUGCUAAAAAUAUACAGGGCAUGGUGGCACGCGCCUGUAAUCCCAGCUAUGCAGGAGGCUGAGGCAGGCGAAUCGCUUCAACCCGGGAGGUGGAGGUUGCACUCCAGCCUGGGUGACAGAGUGAGACUCCGUCUCAAAAAAAGAAAACAACAACCAAACUGAAAUGUAAUAUGAGAGAAUAAAAGUCCUUCAGUGGCUUUUUAUUUUAUUUUAUUUUAUUUUAUUUUAUUUUAUUUAUUUUUUUUUUGAGACGGAGUUUCACUCUUGUUACCCAGGCUGGAGUGCAAUGGCGCGAUCUCGGCUCACCGCAACCACCUCCUCCUGGGUUCAGGCAAUUCUCCUGCCUCAGCCUUCCGAGUAGCUGGGACUACAGACGCGCACCACCAUGCCCAGCUAAUUUUUGUAUUUUGAGUAGAGACGGGGUUUCACCUCAUUGACCAGGAUGGUCUCGAUCUCUUGACCUCGUGAUCCACCCGCCUCGGCCUCCCAAAGUGCUGGGAUUACAGGCUUGAGCCACCGCACCCGGCCUUCAGUGGCUUUUUAAAAUAGCCUUUGCAUGUAUGUAGGCUACAGUGUCUAUUAGUACUUUAUAAUCAUCGUUUUUCAUUUAGGGAUUAUUUUGGUUUUGUUUUUUUUUUUUCUGGUACCUUUAGGGUCAGCAUGGAAGUCCAGGGUCCAUCUGACUCUGUAGGUUAGAAUCUCCCAAGGCCACUUCUUUACACACCGUGUUACUAAUUUCCCUGUGGUUUUUCUUAUUAUAAAAUGAGAAUAUUGCUGUCGACUGUUCUUCUUACUGUUGUGAGGAUUAAAUGAACUAUUUCUUAAA